UACAGAGGUCCCAAGCGUUGCUCGGAUUCACUGGGCGUAAAGGGUGCGUAGGUGGCCGGGUAAGUCUGAUGUGAAAUCUCCGAGCCUAACUCGGAAACUGCAUCGGAAACUACACGGCUCGAGGGUUGGAGGGGGGACUGGAAUACUUGGUGUAGCAGUGAAAUGCGUAGAUAUCAAGUGGAACACCAGUGGCGAAGGCGAGUCCCUGGACAACUCCUGACACUGAGGCACGAAAGCUAGGGGAGCAAACAGG
rnacentral:rRNA from 1 species